rnacentral:lncRNA from 1 species
CUAUCAUUCAUCCAUCUAUAUAGAUCUCAAAGCACUCCAUGCUCUAUCAUUCAUCCAUCUAUAUGGAUUUCAAAGUGCUCCAUCUUUUGUCAUCUAUCUAUUUGUACAAAUCUCAAAAUGAUCUAUCCUCCAUCCAUAUAUCUAUAUAGAUCUCAAAGUACUAUAUCCUCUAUUAUUUAUCAAUCUAUAUAAAUCUCAAAGCACUCUACCAUCUAUCAUCUAUUGGCAUGCACCAAUCAUAAAGCACUCCAUCUACUAUCAUUCAUGUACCUGCACAGAUCUUAAAGCAUUCCAUCCUUUACUAUUUAUCUAUAUGCACAAAUUUCAAAAUAUUCUAUCCUCUAUCAUUCAAGCAUUCGCACAGAUCUUAAAAUACCUCAUACUUUAUCAUCCAUCUGCCUACAUAGAUCUCAAAAGAUGAAGUCAUUCAUCUACUAGCAU